CAAGACGUCGAGGACCCUCAAAGUUCUGGUCCAAUUUGCAUAACUCAGCAUCAAAGAUGACUGGGAAAUGAUCGGAGAUUCCAAUGUUGCUGAUGUCCCUGAUACAAAUGUCCAGUCCAUAAGAAAAAAUCAAAUCAAGAGUAUGUCCUUUAAGGUGGGUAGGUGCAUUAACCCACUGGAUAAGAUUAAGAGAGUCAACUAAGGCUAGGAAAUCCUUGGCAAACACAUCAUCUUUGCAACAAAUGUGAAUGUUAAAAUCGCCAGUGAUAAGAACACGAUCAUAAUUUAGGUAAAGAGAUGCUAAAAAGUCACCAAAGUCGUUAAUGAAAGUCUUAUUAUAUUUCGGGGGACGAUAAAUCACAACACAGAGAGUCAAGGGGGGACCAGCAAGUUCCAGCAGCUGAGCUUCAAAGCUAGGGAACAUAGGGGAAGGCAGGCGCCGUACUUGGAAUUUAUUCCUAAAGACCACUGCCAGUCCUCCACCCCUGCCCGAAGGUCUCGGUGAGCUAAAAAAGGCACAAUUCGGAGGAAGGAGCUCUGAGAAAGGGAAAGACUCACUGGGACGAAUCCAAGUUUCCGUCAUGAAUGUAAAUCCAGUCCUAUAACAGUAAAAAAAUCGCUCACAAUAAAAGUCUUAUUCGUCAGCGACCUAACAUUUAAUAGCGCCAUCCGAGUUGAAGACGCUGAGUCGCAGUUGGAAGCACGUCUCAGGCGGCAUAGGUUGCCAUAGCACACGCCGCCUUUAGGAGGCUUUAUCCAACAUCGAGCCGGCGAGUCAAUCACUGGGGCGGCAGGGCGCGCCUGCAACUCAGCAUGCCGAAUCCAUCGAUGCCUAAACAAUCUAAAGGUAAAGUGCUCCCAAAAAGUCGGGGGAAGGCGGAGAGCAUCCACAUCAACGUCAAAGCCAGCCACAUACCGUGCCUUUAGGUAAGCCUUAAUGCAGACACGGACACCACUCCGUUUACCCCUUUUCCUGUAGUGUCUCCUGUGCGAAGGAAGCGGAGAUCGGCGGUACGUUCCUGAGAGGUGAUCCGUCCGCGGCAGAGUGGUAUCUCCUAAAUUCCACCAUGGGUCCGAUCCAUGGAAGUAUGACCCAAGGAAUGUUCCAAGUUUGAAACUCCUGCUCAGCUGUGACUCUGUAUGGAGUUUGGAUGCUCCCCUUGAACUGAUGCUGGAUUCAUCCAGGUUCCUCCUGCCAGCUGCUCUAAAUUGGCUGUAGGUGUUGUUGUGAAGAUCCACUGGCACCACGUGAACCUAUCGAACCAACAGACUGAGUCUCAAGCAGUUGUCUAAUCCGGCCUCUUAAAGGUGGUUCUGUCAUCAUGAAGAUCUCCAGUCUCUUUGAAUUCUCACCACUUG